rnacentral:rRNA from 1 species
CCUACGGGUGGCAGCAGUGGGGAAUAUUGCACAAUGGGGGAAACCCUGAUGCAGCGACGCCGCGUGAAGGAAGAAGUACUUCGGUAUGUAAACUUCUAUCAGCAGGGAAGAAAAUGACGGUACCUGACUAAGAAGCCCCGGCUAACUACGUGCCAGCAGCCGAGGGUAUACGGAGGGGGCAAGCGUUAUCCGGAUUUACUGGGCGUAAAGGGAGCGUAGGCGGUUUAGCAAGUCAGAAGGGAAAGCCCCGGGCUAAACUCCGGGACUGCCUUUGAAACUGUUGAACUAGAUUGCAGGAGAGGUAAGCGGAAUUCGUAGUGUAGCGGUGAAAUGCGUAGAUAUUAGGAGGAACACCAGUGGCGAAGGCGGCUUACUGGACUGUAAAUGACGCUGAGGCUCGAAGGCGUGGGGAGCAAACAGGAUUAGAUACCCUAGUAGUC